UCAAAAACAUGUCCUUUUGUUUAAAAAUAUAAGGUCUAACCUGCCCAAUGAAUUUAGUUGAAUGGCCGCGGUAUUUUAACUGUGCUAAGGUAGCAUAAUCAUUUGUCUUUUAAUUAAAGGCUAGAAUGAAUGGUUGGACGAGGUAUAAACUUUCUUUAACUUAAUCUUUGAAUUUAAUUUUUUAGUUAAAAAGCUAAAAUAUUUUUGGGGGACGAGAAGACCCUAUAGAUCUUUAUAUGUAUGUGAAUUAUAUAUUAUAGUGAAUAAUAAUAUUUUGAUUAAUUUAUUUAUUUGGUUGGGGCGACUGUAGAAUUAUAAUAACUUCUAUUUUUAUUUUUCAUUAAUUAUUGUAUUGUUGAUCCAUUAGUAAUGAUUACAAGAUUAAGUUACCUUAGGGAUAACAGCGUAAUUUCUUUGGAGAGUUCUUAUCGAUAAAGGAGUUUGCGACCUCGAUGUUGGAUUAAAAUAAGUGGUAGGUGUAGAAGUUUACUAACUAGGUCUGUUCGACCUUUAAUUUUUUACAUGAUCUGAGUU
rnacentral:rRNA from 1 species